rnacentral:misc_RNA from 1 species
GAUGAAGAACGUAGCGAACGUGCGAAACGUAAUGUGAAUUGCAGAAUUCAGUGAAUCAUCGAAUCUUUGAACGCACCUUGCGCCCUUUGGUAUUCCGAAGGGCACACCUGUUUGAGUGUCAUUAAUUCCUCAACUUUAUCAUUUUUUUUUAUUAAAGUGAUAAUAGUUGGAUGUUGAGCGCUGCUGGACUUUUCAGUUCAGCUCGCUUUAAAUUCAUGAGCAGGCUCCUAUAUUUUCGGACUGACUCAACGUGAUAAGAAAAUUUCGUUGAGGACGCUUUACAGCGGCCGAAUUUUAGGGAAAUGCCGCUACCAGUUGACCCUUAUAUUUUAGACCUCAAAUCAGGUGGGACUACCCGCUGAACUUAAGCAUAUCAAUAAGCGGAGGA